rnacentral:rRNA from 1 species
GACGGAGGAUGCAAGUGUUAUCCGGAAUCACUGGGCGUAAAGCGUCUGUAGGUGGUUUAAUAAGUCAACUGUUAAAUCUUGAGGCUCAACCUCAAAAUCGCAGUCGAAACUAUUAGGCUAGAGUAUAGUAGGGGUAAAGGGAAUUUCCAGUGGAGCGGUGAAAGUGCGUAGAGAUUGGAAAGAACACCGAUGGCGAAGGCACUUUACUGGGCUAUUACUAACACUCAGAGACGAAAGCUAGGGUAGCAAAUGGG